ensembl:ncRNA ZK637.20 ncRNA
UAUUGCUUUUGUUUUUAUUCAUCGUCAUGUCAAACAUCGUUUCUCUUCAAUUUCAUCAACAUCAGUCAUCCAAACACCUGAAAGACAUGGGGAGGAUUAAGCUUACCUGUCCAGGAUACCAAGUGCUCAAAUAACACUGUGGAU